rnacentral:rRNA from 1 species
GAUGAACGCUGGCGGCGUGCCUAAUACAUGCAAGUCGAGCGAACAGACGAGGAGCUUGCUCCUCUGACGUUAGCGGCGGACGGGUGAGUAACACGUGGAUAACCUACCUAUAAGACUGGGAUAACUUCGGGAAACCGGAGCUAAUACCGGAUAAUAUAUUGAACCGCAUGGUUCAAUAGUGAAAGACGGUUUUGCUGUCACUUAUAGAUGGAUCCGCGCCGCAUUAGCUAGUUGGUAAGGUAACGGCUUACCAAGGCAACGAUGCGUAGCCGACCUGAGAGGGUGAUCGGCCACACUGGAACUGAGACACGGUACAGACUCCUACGGGAGGCAGCAGUAGGGAAUCUUCCGCAAAGGGCGAAAGCCUGACGGAGCAACGCCGCGUGAGUGAUGAAGGUCUUCGGAUCGUAAAACUCUGUUAUUAGGGAAGAACAAAUGUGUAAGUAACUAUGCACGUCUUGACGGUACCUAAUCAGAAGGCCACGGCUAACUACGUG